CCCUUAGAUGUUCUGGGCCGCACGCGCGCUACACUGACGAAGCCAGCGAGUAUAUAACCUGUCUCGGUAGGGAUGGGUAAUCUUGUGAAACUUCGUCGUGAUGGGGAUAGAUCUUUGUAAUUAUCGAUCUUCAACGAGGAAUUCCUAGUAAGCGCGACUCAUCAGGUCGCGUUGAUUACGUCCCUGCCCUUUGUACACACCGCCCGUCGCUACUACCGAUUGAAUGGUUUAGUGAGGUCUCGGGACUGGCUUUUUGACGGGUCAAACCGUCUUUGAGCCGGGAACUUGCUCAAACUUGAUCAUUUAGAGGAAGUAAAAGUCGUAACA
rnacentral:rRNA from 1 species